rnacentral:misc_RNA from 1 species
UGGUUGCUUUUUUAGGGGUUCUCUCUUUUCACCUCGACACUCGAAAGAUUCCUGCCGUUUUAUUCAUUAGCAGCCGUCCAUGUGGAUCCGAUCUAUCCCGACCGCCCCUAUUACCUAGCCGCUAAUGAAUUCACCGAGUAUGCAGAGGGUGUGCACGUCGGAGCGUUUAAGCGAGGCGGCGAAACAAAGGAACGGCUCCGGGAUAUGGCCGCACAAAGGCAGACGUCCCGCCGACCAAUCUUAUAAUCCGUCCCGUGCCGUAUAAAUUAUUGUUCCCUUCGACCGUACAUGUCGAUUUCAUGCCGUUUUUAACAUCCACGCGGACCUGUGACCAAGGAGAAGCGAGGCUUUCAAUGAUGAACGACGAGAGUGGAUUUCGACUCGCUCAAUUUCUCUUAGGGAUGGUUUCCUUGAAGUUCAUAUUUGAAUUAUUUAAAGGUGGUUUCUCAAAUCAUUCGAAGGUCAUUGCAAGUUUUGUUUUGCAACAUUUAAAGCUUAAUCAAAAUCAUUUCAAGUUAUCUUAAGGCAACUUGAAGACCAUUUUGUAGACC